GCACGGGUGCGUAACGCGUAUACAAUCUACCUUUUACAGGGGGAUAGCCCAGAGAAAUUUGGAUUAAUAUCCCAUAGUAUUAUUUAUUGGCAUCGAUUAAUAAUUAAAGCUUCGGCGGUAAAAGAUGAGUAUGCGUUCUAUUAGCUAGUAGGUGUGGUAACGGCACACCUAGGCAACGAUAGAUAGGGGCCCUGAGAGGGGGAUCCCCCACACUGGUACUGAGACACGGACCAGACUCCUACGGGAGGCAGCAGUGAGGAAUAUUGGACAAUGGGCGAGAGCCUGAUCCAGCCAUGCCGCGUGCAGGAUGACUGCCCUAUGGGUUGUAAACUGCUUUUAUACAGGAAGAAACGGCUUUACGUGUAGAGCUCUGACGGUACUGUAAGAAUAAGGAUCGGCUAACUCCGUGCCAGCAGCCGCGGUAAUACGGAGGAUCCAAGCGUUAUCCGGAAUCAUUGGGUUUAAAGGGUCCGUAGGUGGAUAAUUAAGUCAGAGGUGAAAUCCUGCAGCUCAACUGUAGAAUUGCCUUUGAUACUGGUUAGCUUGAGUUACUAUGAAGUAAUUAGAAUAUGUAGUGUAGCGGUGAAAUGCAUAGAUAUUACAGAGAAUACCAAUUGCGAAGGCAGAUUACUAAGAGGACACUGACACUGAUGGACGAAAGCGUGGGGAGCGAACGGGAUUAGAGACCCCGGGAGUCCACGCCGUAAACGAUGGUCACUAGCUGUUCGG
rnacentral:rRNA from 1 species